CAGCUCUAACACGAUUAGCGCACGGUUUC
rnacentral:sRNA from 1 species